rnacentral:snRNA from 1 species
AGAUAUGAGGGCAAUCUGACUGUGACAUCUGUCACUCUUGAUCGCCAGGGUUGAUUCGGCUGAUCUGUCUAGCUAGGCAGGAGUCCCCUUCCUCCCUCACCACUCCAUGUGCUUCCCUCUCGAAGCUGUGCACUCAGGGAAAGAGGAUGCCAUCCUCAAUAGAGGAAGGCCAGUCUUCAGUCAAGGGUAUACAAGUAGCUGCACUCCUCUGCUAGAACCUCCAAACAAGCUCUCAAGAUCCAUUGGUAAAAGAACCUAGUAGGGUAGUCAAGCUUCCAAGACUCCAGACACAUCUGAAUGAGUUGCUGCAUGUGGCAGUCUGCCUUUCUUU